AGUUGAAUGAGACUUAAUUGUGUUUCGUACAACGAUUUUAUUCAAGCCGGUCAAUUAGAAGUGGCAGAAAUAAAUAUCCCAUUUGAGAAACGACAAACCAAGAAAAAAAAAUAGUAGUUAAUGCACAAGCGGAGUUUUGUACCACUGAUAAACCAAACAGAUUCGCAAAAUAACGCCAUAUACAGUCAUCUCCUCCGUCUAAAUCGUUGCUGUAGUAGUUGGAGGGACCUCAACAUUUUUUUGGAAGUUGUUAUUGACCCAAUCCAAGUUUGGAAUGUGCUAUCCCUUUAUUAAGGGUGCACAACAUUUGCAUUUAAAUUCAGGAGCGUCAUUCAAUGCUGGGAUGAUAGAUGAUGUGGCUUCUUAUUACGACGAAUUGAGCGAGCCAAGUGUCUUUCCACACUUAACCCGUUGCCUUUACCAGAUCUAAUUAUCUGGUCUGCUCCAAUGCAGCCCAUAACAGCCAGAAGCUGUUACAGUUUAGACAUUCGUGAAUGAUUCAUUGUCAUAUAAAACAAGAAGCCUUACCGUUAAUAUUCUUGUAAUGAUAGUAAAUUGUUUCACCUCCCAUGGAUACCUAACAUCCAAUUUUGUCACAAGAAGACAUUGAAUGAUGAGAGUUGGAAAUACAAUUCCCUCGGUGCUGCUGCUCCCGAAAAGUUUUAAAACACCGAAGUCUACAAGCGUUUUAAUUCCAGUUACUGUCCCCAUAAUUCUCAUUAGCUAGUUAGUUUGUGUACUUGCUCGGAAUUCGUAACAAGAAUUUAUUGCAUCUAAGGGAGGUCUCCAAGGCACCUGCAGGCAGAAGGAAGAAAGGACGACAACGGAAAAAAAAUGGGCAAUAACGCUAAACUUCUAAGGCGUUUCGGAAUCCUUAGCCCUAUUACUUAUGUGACAGAAAGGCUUACGAAAGAAUAUGUAGGCACCUUUAUGAACGUUUACGACUACAGUGAGUCAACAAAAUUUCGUGAGUCAAAAAUAUUAAUAUCUUUUCAUUUAUAUCUCCACUUAUGGUACUCAUUUAGGUAUUUGCUUUAUUAACAGUACGAGUGUGAAAUGAUUAUGGAAAUGUAUACUAAUCGCAAAAAAAAGAUAUUCUAAAAUUUUGUGUUAUCAUGUGAAACUUGGUCACUGAUUCACCAUAAAAGAUGAUAUUCAACCUCAAAGGGGGUAUAAGAGUGCAUCAAAAUUUGUAUUAAUUUUUAUUUCAAAUUUAACGAGAUCAGAAAGAUUAAACCAGAGGUGGUCAACCCGCGAUCCGUCUUCUACAUUUUUAGUAGUAUUUUUUCAGUAGAGAUAUAAAAGAAAAGAUAGCAUAGGAUCGAAUCCCCUCCCCCUUAACAAAAAGACGCGAACGGUUAAUUUAGAAACUCGAAAAAGAUUGUAUGUUUGGAACACGACGCUGUACGGGUGCGAAACGUAGACGGUGGGUGCGGUGCAAAGAAAUGUCAGAAUUGUUUGAAAUGUGGUGUUACUGACGAAUGGUGAUAUCGUGGAUAGAUAAGGUUAGAAAUGAUAGAAUAGAAUAGGGUAGGAAAGAGGUAUUAGCCAGAGUAGGAGAACAGAGGUUGGUAGGUCAUCUUGUCAGACUUGAAGGGCUAGUUAAGGACAUAUUAAAAACAGAAACAGGUAAUAAUAGGGGUAGAGGUACAUUAGAUUACAGUUUACAAAUACUUUUAUUAUUUUUAGGGAAAUGCGAAAAUUAGCUAGGGUAGGAAAGAGGGAGUGUGUGUCCACCAAUCUUAGGACUGAUGAUAGAGUAAAUAUUUGGAUUUUAAUAUAAGUAAGUACAAUUUUAUUUGUAAAUUACUUUUAAACAUUUUAUAAUAAUAUGUUAUAUAAGUAUAUGCCUACCGCAAAUAAUAAUCGUUGUUUAAGCAACGUAACAACGUUAAAGGGUCGUUUUGAAAUGCCGUUUCGGGCUUUUGCUUUAUCCUUUAUACGAUAUUAUAUUUAAUCCUUAAAAGGGUGGUGAUUCAAGGAAGUCUAUAUUGUAGCGUUGUACUUAGACGGUAUAACGGCCCAGCCGACGCCCGUAACAAAUUAUCGCAGUGGAAUAAUUCGCGUGUGUUGGAACAGAAUAUACAAUGGGGAUUGUUGCCACAGAUGCUUUGAAGGGACCCUUUAAUAUGCAAAAGGGUCGACUCGUACAGCUGUUUACUCAGUCUCGUAAUAUUUGACUUCGCGAAUUUCGCCAGGUUGUAACGACAGUCAGCGCCGUUAUGAUGUGAACCGCGCUGUUACGUGCAGCGAACCUUCCAAAUAUUUUCGUUUACAGUCAGGUCAUCCGGGUAACAUAUAAUUUCGGUAGUGUCUCUUGCAGCAUACGUUAUUUUGCGAAAGGCUUCCCAUUUUCAUUUUAAAUUUGUUUUAAGAUCUACUUUACAUAUGAAACGUUUGAAGUUGUUGUAGAAAAAUCAAGUACCUACAGCUAGUUCGAAAUCUCAUGAACCUUCACAUGCGCGUGAUAAGCGGACCUUAUUGCAAUACAAAAAUUUGAUUGUUUACUGCGUGUCUUGCUAUACAAGCAAAAAUUGACAAUCCCAAGGCUAAUGUUCUUUAUAGGUAGAAAUGUCGAAAUCAGUGAAGGAGAUCAAGAUCAAGGUUCAUUAGAUUCUGCACUACCUCUAACUCAAAUAAUGUUUGUCAGAAUUCUUUCUUUUUAUGUUGCACAAUUUGAUGAACGUGUUUUUUUACCACGUCCAUAUGAAAAUACCUCUUGCUUCUUUGAAAGCUGUCUUAAACUCUCAAAAUCUUUUGAACAAAGCGUAGCACCUCCCAUAAGCUUUAAAUUAUAUUUAUUAGUCUUAUAAUACCUUAUUAUUUAUAUGAAAAGGUAACUAAAUGUAUUUCUCCUAUAGCAAAGCGUAUUAUUCAAAAGAUGCUGCCGCUCUUUGCUGAUUAUUAUAUGUAAUAGAAUAACCAUGUCUUCGGUUCCCAACUAGCCACUUGUACAUAAGGGUAGUACAUAGUAGAGUAGAUAUAAGGGUAGAUUAAAAUAAACAUGAAUUUUUAGAAUAUAAAACUGUACUAAUUGUAAGAAUUUUUCGAACACAUAAUUGUUCACUUGUUUGUUUGUUUUAUUUUGCAUUAUUAUUGUGUCUGGCAUGCCUAUUAAAAUAAACCAUCUGAAAUAUUCUUUUGCCAUCGUGUAUCUAAAUGUACUUCUCUAAUUAAAAAACAUGCCCCUUAAUGAAUAAAUUUCGCUAAUUAAAAGAAUUUAAAAAAUUAAAGGCGAAGCAGGAAAACGAUUUUUAAAAUGUUCAUGUUUUAAUGGUAUACAUUCCGACAACUCCUGCAAGAUAUUGUGUAUACAAUUUGACGUUAUAAUUAGUCCCAGUCUCUUAUCUCUUUUAUCUUUGUAAUUAGAAUAAAAGUUGCCUUUGCGGAAGUAAAUUCAGGACAAAGAAAUUAUGAGUUCCUACCUAAUAAAAAAAAGGAAAAGAGACUCUCUUUGUUCCUCCGUAAUCAUAAGAUAAAGCAGGCUGUACUAGUCGUUUAUU